rnacentral:rRNA from 1 species
GACGAACGCUGGCGGCGUGCUUAACACAUGCAAGUCGAACGGAAAGGCCAUGCUUUUGUGGGGUUCUCGAGUGGCGAACGGGUGAGUAACACGUGAGUAACCUGCCCUUGACUUUGGGAUAACUUCAGGAAACUGGGGCUAAUACCGGAUAGGAGCUCCUGCUGCAUGGUGGGGGUUGGAAAGUUUCGGCGGGUGGGGAUGGACUGGCGGCUUAUCAGCUUGUUGGUGGGGGAGUGGCUUACCAAGGCAUUGACGGGUAGCCGGCCUGAGAGGGUGACCGGCCACAUGGGGACUGAGAUAGGGACCAGACGGCUACGGGAGGCAGCAGUGGGGAAUAUUACACAGUGGGCGGAAGCCUGAUGCAGCAACGCCGCGUGCGGGAUGACGGUCUUCGGGUUGUAAACCGCUUUCGCCUGUGACGAAGCGUGAGUGACGGUAAUGGGUAAAGAAGCACCGGCUAACUACGUG